CCUACGGGAGGCAGCAGUGAGGAAUAUUGGUCAAUGGGCUUACGCCUGAACCAGCCAAGUCGCGUGAGGGAAGACUGCCCUAUGGGUUGUAAACCUCUUUUGUCAGGGAGCAACGCCGGCUACGUGUAGCCGGACUGAGAGUACCUGAAGAAAAAGCAUCGGCUAACUCCGUGCCAGCAGCCGCGGUAAUACGGAGGGUGCGAGCGUUAAUCGGAAUUACUGGGCGUAAAGCGCUCGUAGGCGGUAUGUCAAGUCAGAUGGGAAAUCCGGGGGCUCAACCCCCGAACUGCAUUUGAAACUGUUGGUCUUGUGUAUCGGAGAGGCAGGCGGAAUUCCUAGUGUAGCGGUGAAAUGCGUAGAUAUUAGGAGGAACACCAGUGGCGAAGGCGGCCUGCUGGACGACAACUGACGGUGAGGCGCGAAAGCGUGGGGAGCAAACAGGAUUAGAUACCCUUGUAGUC
rnacentral:rRNA from 1 species